GAUGAACGCUGGCGGCGUGCCUAAUUCAUGCAAGUCGAACGAAGAUCUAGCUUGCUAGAUCUUAGUGGCGAACGGGUGCGUAAUACAUAAAUAAUCUGCACAUAUGACUGGGAUAACUAUUGGAAACGAUAGCUAAUACCGGAUAGGUUGAUCGGAGGCAUCUCUGAUGAAUUAAAGUAGGAUUUCUACACAAAUGGAUGAGUUUAUGGCGCAUUAGUUAGUUGGUGGGGUAACGGCCUACCACGACGAUGAUGAGUAGCCGACCUGAGAGAGUGACCGGCCACACUGGGACUGAGACAAGGCCCAGACUCCUACGGGAGGCAGCAGUAGAGAAUUUUCGGCAAUGGGCGCAAGCCUGACCGAGCAACGCCGCGUGAGUGAUUAAGGCCUUCGGGUAGUAAAGCUCUGUUGUAAGGGAAGAACAUUCAGGAUAGGAAAUGAUCUUGAACUGACGGUACCUUACCAGAAAGCCACGGCUAACUACGUGCCAGCAGCCGCCGUAACAC
rnacentral:rRNA from 1 species